CGUGUAGGCGGUUGGUCCAGUCGGAUGUGAAAGCCUGGGGCUCAGCCCCAGAAGUGCAUCCGAAACUAGCCAGCUAGAGCGCGAUAGAGGAGGGUGGAAUUCCUGGUGUAGCGGUGAAAUGCGUAGAUAUCAGGAGGAACACCGGCGGCGAAGGCGGCCCUCUGGAUCGUUGCUGACGCUGAGACGCGAAAGCGUGGGGAGCAAACAGGAUUAGAUACCCUGGUAGUCCACGCCUUAAACGAUGGGUACUAGGUGUUCGGGGUGUUGACCCCCUGAGUGCCGCAGUUAACGCAUUAAGUACCCCGCCUGGGGACUACGGCCGCAAGGUUAAA
rnacentral:rRNA from 1 species